rnacentral:lncRNA from 1 species
AAACAUAAAAGAAAAACCUAAAAAAAUCCUUAUCUCUAAGGACUAAUCAACCGCAAUACACUUGAAGAGGUCGAUGAAAAUUUACACGAGAAAAAAAGGCAAAACGGAAAAAUGACCUAACUCCUAGAAGCUUCAGCGCCCAUCUAUGGUGGAAAAAGAGAAAAACAAAAGAUCUGCUUCUUCUCCAUUGUAGCUUCAAAAACGCUACACUUUCCCACGACCAUAACUCCAGCUCCCCAUCCAUCACCGUGCCACCCCAAACACCAACAAACGAACCAUGCCUGACCAUCACUUCUAACCAAAUACAAACUCGCCGGAAAAACCCAUUAAAACCGACUCGUUCACCCCUCCCUUCACCAACCAGCCCAACACGCCAGUGAACAGAAGCCAUCAGCAAAAACAACCCUCCAACGCCCCAAUAAACCCAACCACCCCGCCAACCUCUCCAAAAACUCGCCGAAAAAGAUGGUCUCCAUCCUCUGAACGUCUAAGUCCACCCUACGAUCCUCCUUUCCUAUCCAGAAGCCGGACAACAGAGAACGACCAGAUUCCAAAUUUCGCUUUCUAAAAAUGAAAUUUGUUUGAGGUGAUUCGAAGUCCAAUUCGAGGUCUCGUUCAGUCGUACAUCGAGGUUACUAUCCGAGUUCCUAUUGCUGUUUUCAUUUUGUUCGUGCUGCAAUUCGCUCAAUUUUGGCUUAAAGCUCUUGUAUGAUUUUCAAGCGUCGAAGAAAAUUUCAGAACUCCUUUUGUGGUCCUUCUCAUUGACUUCUCUUUAUUAUGUGUGCUAUUAUUUUUCAUGUGCUAUGUUAAUUGCAUGAUGAUGGCUUAAUGUUCUCGUUUGAUAUAAAUUCAGUCAAAUUGCUCAUUUUAAUUAACUAUUGUGAAUAGAGCAUAAUUUAUGAUAAGUAAAUCAAUUCAUGAACUAUUAGUUUAAGUUAGAUUACGGGGCAGUGGAUUGAUAAACUCUGGAAAAGAAAUGUUGGACAAGAAUAGUGAAAUAGAAAUGGGAUCUAAAGAUGGAAGUUAAAAGUAACAAAAUUGAGAUUUUAGUACUACAUUUGUUACUUUAUUUUAUUUUAUUAUCCACUAGUGGUAUGUUUAGGUCGGUCACACUUGGGUAGGUAAGCUUUAGGAUUUUUUUUGUUUUGAGGCAACAAGUCGUUCUCUUAGUUAAAUUUAUCUGGAGAAUACCCCAAAGAAUUUAUAUAUUUUUUAUCCGGGGUAUACCCCGAAGUACGUAUAAAUAAUGGCCAGAUAUUGGAUGAUGUGAGGAAGCGUAGAAUAGAACUUUAAUAUUUUCCUUUAUUCAUUUUAUCUUUUUUAGGUGGGGAUGACCUCUAACAUCUUGUGUAUUUUUUUUUUUUGUGUUUUACCUCAAUUGAAUAUUUUAAAGCGGACCAUAUGAAGUAUGCAACCGUACUAGUUACGGGACUUGGGGAGUGCCUAACACCUUCACCCUGAGUCAAUUGAACCCCCUUACCCGAAUCUCUGGUGCAAAUUUAGUUUUAAAGUUCAAAGUGUUUAAAUAGGAAAAAUUAUUUUUAUAAAACGGUGACCUGGCACAACAAAACCAAUGUCAGGUGGCGACUCUGAGUUAAUCCUUUUGAACACAAACUUUUGUCUCUUUCUAAUUGAAAACCCUUUUAAGCUUUGCAAAGUCCUUUUAUUUAUUUAAGAUGGGUUAGUGAGGAUUGAUUAAAAAAAGGGUAUGACAUCUAUGGUUUUUAGGUUCGAGCUGGGGAGUUGUAGGUUCGAGCUGGUACUUGAUCUUGUUGGUUUCUUAGGAUAUUCGGUUGAGGUGUUUGUUUUUUGUAUUUGAUUUGUUUGUAUUAUUUCCUUGUUUUGUUGGUUAUUUGUUUAUCGUUUUUCUUAAUGUGUUACUGCUUUAUAAUCUAUCAUCAUUUGUAUAACCAUGAGUCUUCUUUUUGCAGAAGUCUCGAAGUACGUAUAGCGUGCACGAACUCUUUGUUGAGUCACUCUUAAUUUAAAAGGGGGACCGUCGGACGUAUGGAGUGGGUGGAAAGCUUGAGCAGCCACCAUCGACCAUACGCUCCUCCGAAUUGCCUUGUUAGUGAACCCCAAUAUUACGUCAACCUUUAGGUCACUCUUAUUUGCAUCAUGUCAUUUAAACCUAGUAGGUCUUGGUCCCAGGCACCGUGUCCCUUUGUAGAAGCUUAUCCAAACUUUGUCAAAAUUUGGCCCGUAGUCCAAAAAGACAUUCAAUCAUCUGUAUGUGAUACAUGUUGCAUCUUUUAGGGUAAAAAGAUCAUUUGAUGGACCGAUGCUUGGGAAAGAAUGGUGAAAAAAGAAGCAAGUAGGGCCCAGUUAUGUUUUUCUUUCAAUCAUUUUUCAAAAAAAGUCAAAAAAAUGAAAAUGAAAAAUGCAAAAAGAGAUUUAGCCCUUUUCCAUUAUUUUCCAAAAAAAUCCAAAAAAAAAAGAAACUCCAAAAAGAUUUUAUAUUUUUCAUCAUUUUCAAAAAGACAAUAUAUAUAUAUANNNNNNNNNNNNNNNNNNNNNNNNNNNNNNNNNNNNNNNNNNNNNNNNNNNNNNNNNNNNNNNNNNNNNNNNNNNNNNNNNNNNNNNNNNNNNNNNNAUGGCAUCAUGUCAUUUACACCUAGUAGGGCUCGGUCCCAAGUACGUGUCCCUUUGUAGGGAGCCUGUCCAAAUUUUGUCAAAAUGGGCCCGUGGGCCAAAAUGACAUCAAUCAUCCCUAUAUGAUACAUGUUGCAUCUUUGAGGGUAACAAGGUCAUUGGCUGACCGAUGUUUGGGGAAGAAGGGUGAAAAAUGAAGCAAGUAGGGCUCGCUUGCAAUUUUUCUUUCAUAGUUUUCUGAAAGUUCAAAAAAAAGAAAAUAAAAAAUCCAAGAAAGAUUUUACACUUUCCCAUUAUUUCUCCAAAAAUUCAAAAAAAAAAAAAAGAAAUGAAAAAAAAAAAUUUUAAAAAUCCAAAAAGAAUUUACUGUUCCAUUAUUUUCCAAAAAUUUAAAAAAAGGAGAAAAAGAAAAUCCAAAAAGAUUUUGCAUUUUCUGUCAUUUUAAAAAAAUAUAAUUUUUUUUCAAAUUAGUUGCAUUUUUUAGGCUUUUGUCCAUAUCCAAUCUUCCCGAACUACGCAAACCUGAUUCUCGUCUUUCGGGGUGGGAUACGUAGGAAACCCACAUAGGACCCGAUCUUCCUAGUGAACUUUAGGUUCUUGGCUUCGUGGGGUCUUAGCCAAAUCUUUCAUGUCUAGCCACUCCUUGCCAUAUUGGCCAUUGUUGCAAAAUAGGGUCAUUUUUGCAAAAGUAUUUCAGUUACCCAUAUCUUAGGAUUUUGAGUCUACAACUAGGUGUCAUAUUACUUUAAGGUCCUUCCUUUUUGAGUUUGCAUCUUUAGUCACUUCUGGCCAUAUCGGUCAUUUUUUACAAAAUGGGUAAUUUCUGCAAAUUAAUUUUGGACAAUGAUUAUUGGGAGUUGAAUCUAUAUAAGAAUUGGUAAGGUAUUUUCAUAUCUGAGUAGUCACCUUGUUGAUUUUGCACUUAUAGCUACUCUUGUCUACGUAGGUUAAUUUCCAAAAAUAGCCUAGUCGUGUCUGGCAUGUAUCCAACAAGAGGUGUUGUGGGUGUCGCAUAGUGUCUUGAGUCACUAACUCUAUUCAAUCUUAUUUUUACCAUUCAGGAAUGGAUCAACUUGCUAGAGUUUGAGCAUGACAAAUAUCCCAGGACCAUUCUAGUCAAUACCAUUACAUACACG